CUGCUGAAGACGGAGGUGGUGCUGUGGCAGUGGGCCGUGUGGGAGGCGGCGCAGUUCACCGUCCUCUCCAAGCUGCGCACGCCACUGGGCCGAGCGCAGGACACCUUCCAGACCAUCGAAGGGUAUACGGACGUUCUUCUACACUAACCGCCAGACGUGCCAGGACUGGCUGACCCGGAUCCGGCUGGCGCUGAUGAGGGUGGGGCUGCUCUCGGGCCAGCCCGCCGUCACCGUGCGCCACGGCUUCGACCUGAUGACGGAGAUCAAGAACAGCAACACCCAGGGCCCAGAGCUAGAGGUGCCCUUGAUGAUGCUGGUCGAGGCUCUGCGAGCUGCGCUGCCCCGAGGCCAUCCAAGGCCUGGCCGCCUGGAACCUCUGCAAC